UAUAUCAGUUAGUCCUCCUUAAGAUGUCCUAUUUUGAUGCCAGAUGACAUCAUUACAAUUUUUUUUUUCUUUAGGGCAUUUUGUUUGCUACACCCAAGUGCUUACAGCAACCAAAUUAUAUUUAUUAUCUUUGGUCAUGAGUCAGCACAUGCCUACGGGGAUAAACUAGUGGAAAGCAGACUCUAAUGUCUGUUAUAAAAUGAUGAUGGACACUACAGACAAGUAUUUUGAGGUAGAUCUUGCCAGUUUCUACAUCAAGACGGGUGCCAAGAACAUGCCCACAGUGUUUUUGCUGACAGAUGCCCAAGUUCCAGAUGAAUGCUUUCUUGUGCUGAUUAAUGACUUGUUGGCAUCAGGAGAGGUUCCAGAUCUGUUCAGU